AGAGUUUGAUCCUGGCUCAGGAUUAACGCUAGCGGCAGGCCUAAUACAUGCAAGUUGAACGGGAUUUCGGGUAGCAAUAUCUGAAUGAGAGUAGCACACGGGUGCGUAACACGUAUGCAACCUACCUGUAACUGGGGGAUAGCCUCCCGAAAGGGAGAUUAAUACCGCAUAAUAUUAUUGAGUGGCAUCACUUGAUAAUUAAACCUCCGGGGGUUACAGAUGGGCAUGCGUCCGAUUAGCUAGUUGGUGAGGUAAUGGCUCACCAAGGCUACGAUCGGUAGGGGGUCUGAGAGGAUGAUCCCCCACACUGGUACUGAGACACGGACCAGACUCCUACGGGAGGCAGCAGUAAGGAAUAUUGGACAAUGGGCGCAAGCCUGAUCCAGCCAUGCCGCGUGAAGGAUGAAGGCCCUAUGGGUCGUAAACUUCUUUUAAACGGGACGAAACCCCUCGACGUGUCGAGGGCUGACGGUACCGUAAGAAUAAGGGUCGGCUAACUUCGUGCCAGCAGCCGCGGUAAUACGAAGGACCCGAGCGUUAUCCGGAUUUAUUGGGUUUAAAGGGUGCGUAGGCGGACUUUCAAGUCAGUGGUGAAAGCCCAUCGCUCAACGAUGGAAUUGCCAUUGAUACUGUUGGUCUUGAGUAUAGUUGAGGUGGGCGGAAUGUGUCAUGUAGCGGUGAAAUGCUUAGAUAUGACACAGAACACCUAUUGCGAAAGGCAGCUCGCUAAGCUAUAACUGACGCUGAGGCACG
rnacentral:rRNA from 1 species